UCAGGAUGAACGCUGGCGGUAUGCUUAACACAUGCAAGUCGAACGGUGUCUUCGGACACAGUGGCGGACGGGUGAGUAACGCGUGAGAAUCUGGCUCUAGGUCUGGGACAACCACUGGAAACGGUGGCUAAUACCGGAUGUGCCGAGAGGUGAAAGGUUAACUGCCUAGAGAUGAGCUCGCGUCUGAUUAGCUAGUUGGAAGUGUAAUGGACUCCCAAGGCGACGAUCCAGUAGCUGGUCUGAGAGGACGAUCAGCCACACUGGGACUGAGACACGGCCCAGACUCCUACGGGAGGCAGCAGUGGGGAAUUUUCCGCAAUGGGCGAAAGCCUGACGGAGCAAUACCGCGUGAGGGAGGAAGGCUCUUGGGUCGUAAACCUCUUUUCUCAGGGAAGAACACAAUGACGGUACCUGAGGAAUAAGCAUCGGCUAACUCCGUGCCAGCAGCCGCGGUAAUACGGAGGAUGCAAGCGUUAUCCGGAAUGAUUGGGCGUAAAGCGUCCGCAGGUGGCAAUGUAAGUCUGCUGUUAAAGAGUCUAGCUCAACUAGAUAAAAGCAGUGGAAACUACAUAGCUAGAGUACGUUCGGGGCAGAGGGAAUUCCUGGUGUAGCGGUGAAAUGCGUAGAGAUCAGGAAGAACACCGGUGGCGAAGGCGCUCUGCUAGGCCGUAACUGACACUGAGGGACGAAAGCUAGGGGAGCGAAUGGGAUUAGAUACCCCAGUAGUCCUAGCCGUAAACGAUGGAUACUAGGCGUGGCUUGUAUCGACCCGAGCCGUGCCGUAGCUAACGCGUUAAGUAUCCCGCCUGGGGAGUACGCCGGCAACGGUGAAACUCAAAGGAAUUGACGGGGGCCCGCACAAGCGGUGGAGUAUGUGGUUUAAUUCGAUGCAACGCGAAGAACCUUACCAAGGCUUGACAUGUCGCGAAUCUUCUUGAAAGGGAAGAGUGCCUUCGGGAGCGCGAACACAGGUGGUGCAUGGCUGUCGUCAGCUCGUGUCGUGAGAUGUUGGGUUAAGUCCCGCAACGAGCGCAACCCUCGUUUUUAGUUGCCAGCAUUAAGUUGGGCACUCUAGAGAGACUGCCGGUGACAAACCGGAGGAAGGUGGGGAUGACGUCAAGUCAGCAUGCCCCUUACGCCUUGGGCUACACACGUACUACAAUGCUCCGGACAGAGGGCAGCAAGCAUGCGAAUGCAAGCAAAUCCCGUAAACCGGAGCUCAGUUCAGAUCGCAGGCUGCAACUCGCCUGCGUGAAGGAGGAAUCGCUAGUAAUUGCAGGUCAGCAUACUGCAGUGAAUUCGUUCCCGGGCCUUGUACACACCGCCCGUCACACCAUGGAAGCUGGUAGUGCCCGAAGUCAUUACUCCAACCAUUCGUGGAGGAGGAUGCCUAAGGCAGGACUGGUGACUGGGGUGAAGUCGUAACAAGGUAGCCGUACCGGAAGGUGUGGCUGGAUCACCUCCUUUUUAGGGAGACCUACACCCCUUACAUAUCGAAAAACAUACAGUUAAAUAGAUAGUAAGUUGGUCUAACCUAGGUC
rnacentral:rRNA from 1 species